rnacentral:rRNA from 1 species
GACGAACGCUGGCGGCGUGCUUAACACAUGCAAGUCGAGCGGUAAGGCCCUUUCGGGGGUACACGAGCGGCGAACGGGUGAGUAACACGUGGGUGACCUGCCCUCAGCUCUGGGAUAAGCCUGGGAAACUGGGUCUAAUACCGGAUAUGACUCCAUGACGCAUGUUGUGGGGUGGAAAGCCUUGUGCGGCUGAGGAUGGGCCCGCGGCCCAUCAGCUUGUUGGUGGGGUGAUGGCCUACCAAGGCGACGACGGGUAGCCGGCCUGAGAGGGCGACCGGCCACACUGGGACUGAGACACGGCCCAGACUCCUACGGGAGGCAGCAGUGGGGAAUCUUGCGCAAUGGCCGAAAGGCUGACGCAGCGACGCCGCGUGUGGGAUGAAGCAUUUCGGUGUGUAAACCACUGUUGCCCGGGACGAACACACUCUUUCGAGAGUGCUGACGGUACCGGGUGAGGAAGCACCGGCUAACUCCGUGCCAGCAGCCGCCGCAGUAAU